rnacentral:rRNA from 1 species
GACGAAUGCUGGCGGCGUGCCUAAUACAUGCAAGUAGAACGCUGAAGGAGGAGCUUGCUUCUCUGGAUGAGUUGCGAACGGGUGAGUAACGCGUAGGUAACCUGCCUGGUAGCGGGGGAUAACUAUUGGAAACGAUAGCUAAUACCGCAUAAUAGCAGUUGUUGCAUGACAACUGUUUGAAAGGUGCAAUUGCACCACUACCAGAUGGACCUGCGUUGUAUUAGCUAGUUGGUGGGGUAACGGCUCACCAAGGCGACGAUACAUAGCCGACCUGAGAGGGUGAUCGGCCACACUGGGACUGAGACACGGCCCAGACUCCUACGGGAGGCAGCAGUAGGGAAUCUUCGGCAAUGGACGGAAGUCUGACCGAGCAACGCCGCGGGAGUGAAGAAGGGUUUCGGAUCGUAAAGCUCUGUUGUAAGAGAAGAACGAGUGUGAGAGUGGAAAGUUCACACUGUGACGGUAUCUGACCAGAAAGGGACGGCUAACUACGUG